CCCAGGAUUCUGACCUCCCAAGUCAUUGUUCUAUGACAUACACCUGCUUGGCCUAAAACCGACCACUUUAUCAUAAUGCAGACCCAGUUUUGAAAGAAGCAGAUAAAGUUGUCAAAAGUACUGUGUCUGCCUCAGCGCACACUCAGUGCGCUCCACACAAAGGGCAUCACCAUCUGCCACAAUGGCCCAGUGGCCUGGCUGGCACAGACAGUGGCAGAGCAAAGGGCAACAGAUCCCUAAUCCAAUCACCAUGGUCGAUAGGGCAUCAUAGACAUUCCAGGGUGAAGGCACAAUCCACAUUGUGAGGUCCAACUGCUGCCAGGC
rnacentral:lncRNA from 10 species